rnacentral:rRNA from 1 species
GAUGAACGCUGGCGGCGUGCCUAAUACAUGCCAGUCGAGCGAACGGACGAGAAGCUUGCUUCUCUGAUGUUAGCGGCGGACGGGUGAGUAACACGUGGAUAACCUACCUAUAAGACUGGGAUAACUUCGGGAAACCGGAGCUAAUACCGGAUAAUAUUUUGAACCGCAUGGUUCAAAAGUGAAAGACGGUCUUGCUGUCACUUAUAGAUGGAUCCGCGCUGCAUUAGCUAGUUGGUGAGGUAACGGCUUACCAAGGCAACGAUGCAUAGCCGACCUGAGAGGGUGAUCGGCCACACUGGAACUGAGACACGGUCCAGACUCCUACGGGAGGCAGCAGUAGGGAAUCUUCCGCAAUGGGCGAAAGCCUGACGGAGCAACGCCGCGUGAGUGAUGAAGGUCUUCGGAUCGUAAAACUCUGUUAUUAGGGAAGAACAUAUGUGUAAGUAACUGUGCACAUCUUGACGGUACCUAAUCAGAAAGCCACGGCUAACUACGUG